CUCAGUGCCUCAGCAACAGCUUAGACAGUACGUAGAAGGGAAUCAGGCAUACCUAUUAUAUUUUUGAAGAACAAAAAUACUUAAAAGUAAUCCUUUCGCAUGGAAAUACAGUUCAAUGAGUACACGAUAUAUCACAGCAUUUCGUAUUGUUUGGAAGACAAUCAUGAAUUAAAUAUAUAAUAACUUUCCAACUUCAGAGAGGGCGAAAAAUAAUUUGCAAACAAAUAACAAAGAAAAAUUAUCAUUCUGGGUCAAUUUUAGAUUAUUAUCGUGGUACACUAAUUAAAAUUGUAAAAGAAAGCUAAGAGUUUUUGUCUUACCUUAAUUUACUGUGUUAUAAAAUGCAA